AAAUCGGUAGACACGCUAUUCUUAGGAAGCAGUGCUAGAGCAUCUCGGUUCGAGUCCGAGUAGUGGCA
rnacentral:tRNA from 5 species